ACUCAGAUGGAUAUAAUACAACCUGUUAAGUGUCCUAGCAUGAACCAGAUUGUAUUGUCAUUGUUCGUGUC
rnacentral:pre_miRNA from 15 species